GACGAACGCUGGCGGCGUGCCUAAUACAUGCAAGUCGAGCGAACGGACGCGAAGCUUGUUUCUCUGAUGUUAGCGGCGGACGGGUGAGUAACACGUGGAUAACCUACCUAUAAGACUGGGAUCACCUCGGGACACCGUCGCUAAUACCGGAUAAUAUUUUGAACCGCAUGGUUCAAAAGUGAAAGACGGUCUUGCUGUCUCUUAUCGAUGGAUCCGCGCUGCAUUAGCUAGUUGGUAAGGUAACGGCUUACCAAGGCAACGAUGCAUAGCCGACCUGUGAGAGUGAUCGGCGACACUGGAGCUGGGACGCGGUCCAGAGUCCUGAGGGAGGCAGCAGUAGGGAAUGUUCCGCAGUGGGCGAAAGCCUUACGGAGCAAGGCGACGUGAGAGAUAAAGGUCUUCGGAUCGGAAAACUGGGUUACUAGUGAAGAACAUAUGCGUAAGUAGCUGUGGACAGCUUGACGGUACCUAAUCAGAAAGCCACGGCUAACUACGUG
rnacentral:rRNA from 1 species